UACGAAGGGUGCAAGCGUUACUCGGAAUUACUGGGCGUAAAGGGUGCGUAGGUGGUUUGUUAAGUCUGCUGUGAAAUCCCCGGGCUCAACCUGGGAAUGGCAGUGGAUACUGGCAAGCUAGAGUGCGGUAGAAGGGUAGUGGAAUUCCCGGUGUAGCAGUGAAAUGCGUAGAGAUCGGGAGGAACACCAGUGGCGAAGGCGGCUACCUGGACCAGCACUGACACUGAAGCACGAAAGCGUGGGGAGCAAACAGG
rnacentral:rRNA from 1 species